UAACAAAUGACAUGAGUUGUUUGUAAUGAUCAGCUUAAGUAUGCAGUGCACAUAUCACAUUAAGCAGAGACAACUAAGGAUGUUAAGUUCCUGUAUGGGCGGGCCGGGGUCAUUUGAACUGGUC